rnacentral:rRNA from 1 species
GAAAGCGUGGGUAGCAANCAGGAUUAGAUACCCUGGUAGUCCACGCCCUAAACGAUGUCAAUUAGCUGUUGGGGCACUUGAUGCCUUAGUAGCGAAGCUAACGCGUGAAAUUGACCGCCUGGGGAGUACGGUCGCAAGAUUAAAACUCAAAGGAAUUGACGGGGACCCGCACAAGCGGUGGAUGAUGUGGAUUAAUUCGAUGCAACGCGAAGAACCUUACCUGGUCUUGACAUGUACGGAAUCUUCCAGAGACGGAAGAGUGCCUUCGGGAGCCGUAACACAGGUGCUGCAUGGCUGUCGUCAGCUCGUGUCGUGAGGUGUUGGGUUAAGUCCCGCAACGAGCGCAACCCUUGUCAUUAGUUGCCACCAUUCAGUUGGGCACUCUAAUGAGACUGCCGGUGACAAACCGGAGGAAGGUGGGGAUGACGUCAAGUCCUCAUGGCCCUUAUGACCAGGGCUUCACACGUCAUACAAUGGUCGGUACAGAGGGUAGCCAAGCCGCGAGGUGGAGCCAAUCUCAGAAAACCGAUCGUAGUCCGGAUUGCACUCUGCAACUCGAGUGCAUGAAGUCGGAAUCGCUAGUAAUCGCAGGUCAGCAUACUGCGGUGAAUACGUUCCCGGGUCUUGUACACACCGCCCGUCACACCAUGGGAGUGGGGGAUACCAGAAGUAGGUAGGCUAACCGCAAGGAGG